rnacentral:tRNA from 1 species
GCCUGGGUGGCUUAGUUGGUUAAGCGUCCGACUUCGGCUCGGUCAUGAUCUUGCAGUUUGUGAGUUUGAGCCCCACGUCGGGCC